UUUCCGUAGGUGAACCUGCGGAAGGAUCAUUAUUGAAUAAACAUGAUGUGGUUGUAGCUGGCCCUUUAGGGAGCAUGUGCACACCCGUCGUCUUUAUCUUUCCAACUGUGAACCUCUUGUAGACCUGGAUGUAACACUUUCCGAGGCAACUCGGUCGGGAGGAAUGCUGUCAGCUUUCCUUGAAUGUCCAGGCCUAUGUUUUCAUAUACCCCAAAGAAUGUAACAGAAUGUAUUAUUGGGCCUUGUGCCUAUAAACUAUAUACAACUUUCAGCAACGGAUCUCUUGGCUCUC
rnacentral:misc_RNA from 1 species